CGUCAUGUUUGAGUCAAGUUGCACAGUUCCUGGUUUUGGUUAUUAAAAGUUCCAUUGUAAAUGUGCUGAGUUUCCUGCAUGUUCCUGCCUGACACACCUUGACAGUUACUUGGUUUGAAUCUUUGGAUUCCAUUCCAUCUUAAUUCUGCUUUGCACUUCUGCAUCCUGUUUGCUACCUCAGUUGAAAUGCAUUCCACCGAAGAAAGUCAUAUGGAUUUGGGAGGCGAUGAUCCCGGCUGCUGAGAAGAGUGGCGUGUGAAGAAUAUGCGAUGACUGACGCUCACCGUUCUCUCUGUGUCUGGUUAAAGGCAUGACCUGUCAUCAGUAGGAGUCAGAGAAGUUCAGGCUCCUUAGGCUCUGACACUUCAGCAUGAAGCAAUGAAAACUGGAAUGUGUGAUGGCUCUCACCUGCAAACAUGCCUCCGCCGUCUUUGAAGUGCCCCGAGGUGCGUUCCCCCGCCCAGGCACAGAGAGCGGGCCGGCAAGGUUGAUUGAUAACCUCCCGCUCACCGCAGCGCUCAUCACGCCUGCCCUGCGCUUUUCUCAGCUCCGUGGAGUGGACUUCCUCUGGGUAAGACAGAGAUGACGGAGGCCCAUUAGCAGGCCCCUCACGCAGGUGUCGUCAGAGCCUCACGCUGUGCAGCGGGCUGGAUUCACCUUGCCUUUGGAGGAGAGCGCACUAGACAGAGAAACAACAAGAAGUAAAGGUGGUUCUGAGCUGCAUAGUUUGAGAGAGGUUUAUAGAUUCCCCAGACAGAGUGCCGUUUGGUCAAAAGUGCUUUCUCUGCGCUGAGAAAAGGAGCUUCUUGCCUGACUGCAGGGUGCCAGACCUGGAGGGGAAAGGCCUGCUGUGAGAAGAUUAGUGCCGUUCACUCUGGCCCUUAUUUCAAAGCCCCGUCCCUCCCAGCUGCAGAUUCGUUGCCAGUUCAGCGCUGAUCCACACGUCCCAGGGAUUUACAGCUGCAAGAUUGAUCAAUACUGGGCGUCUACGAUUCUGAACUCUCCUUCUUCCACAGGAUCACCUUUUCAUCUGGAAGUAGAGCCUUCCUCUGGGAGUGUACCUUGCCACUUGUGGUGAGCUUGCAGGUACAGUAUGCCAUACGUAAUGUUGCAAAGUUCUGUAAUGACUUCAGGUGUAGACACACAUUUGUGUUGUACUGUAAAUGCUUAGCAAAUCUUAUGCAUCCCAUUCAGACAUCGCAGUGCUUAUCGGUGAAUCAAUGCAUUUAAAAAAAAAAACUUGACUGAAGUAACAAGGUACUUAGCUUGAAACUUCAAACAAGUAUGCAUUGAAAUAGGCUAUACAUGACAAGACUGUGAUGACCAAAAAAAGGUCUUUCUUGUACUUUAUGAACAGUAAGGAUUUUCAUCCACAUGAUUUUAGGACAUUUUAGUGUAUGCAGGACUGUAUGGGGUCAUCAUUUUAUUUUAUUGAGCAAGGAGGCAUUCAAGUGAUCAAAAUUGACAGUAAAGACAUUUAAAAAUUUACAAACGAUUCUAUU